rnacentral:rRNA from 1 species
UACGGAGGGUGCAAGCGUUAUCCGGAUUUACUGGGUUUAAAGGGUGCGCAGGCGGAUAUGUAAGUCAGUGGUGAAAUCUCUAGGCUUAACCUGGAAAUUGCCGUUGAUACUAUAUAUCUUGAAUGCUGUGGAGGUAAGCAGAAUAUGUCAUGUAGCGGUGAAAUGCUUAGAGAUGACAUAGAAUACCUAUUGCGAAGGCAGCUUACUACACAGAUAUUGACGCUCAUGCACGAAAGCGUGGGGAUCAAACAGG